CCCGCGGAACUGCUGGUGCCUUAUACCGGCGAUAUUGCGGCCGAAGGGAUCAGCAAAGCCCUGCGCGGCGGGACUAAAUUUCUUCGCCACGGUCUUCAACGCCAACAGCGCUAUAUCGCCGAAGCGAUGACUGAAGAGUGGCGAAUGGCGCCCGGACCCCUUGAGGUCGCCUGGUUUGCGGAAGAGACGGCGGCGGUGGAUCGCGCUGUCGAUGCGCUGACCCGACGGCUGGAAAAACUGGAGGCUAAAUGA
rnacentral:sRNA from 1 species